CUCAGAUCAUGUAAGAUUUUAAUGAUCGAACAGAUCAAAAUUUUAAACUUUUGCAUUUAAAUUUUAUCUUAAUCCAACAUCGAGGUCGCAAACUUUUUUUUUUAUUUGAGCUAAAAAAAAAUAUUACGCUGUUAUCCCUAAGGUAAUUUUUUCUUAUAAUCAUUAUUAAUGGAUCAUUUAAUCAUUUAUUUAUGUUUACUUUUUAAAAAAAGUUAAUUUAAUUUUUCUAUCACCCCAAUAUAAUAAUUAAUUUUAUUUUAAUAAAAAUUUUUAUAUAAUUUUAAAAUAAAAAUAAAUAUAAAACUCUAUAGGGUCUUCUCGUCUUUUAAAAUUAAUUUAGCUUUUUAACUAAAAAAUAAAAUUCUAAAAAUAAAUAAGAGACAGUUUAUAUUUCAUCAAAUCUUUCAUACAAGUUUCCAAUUAAAAAACUAUUGAUUAUGCUACCUUUGUACAGUCAUUAUACUGCAGCCCUUUAAUAUUUAUCAGUGGGCAGAUUAGACUUUAAAUUAUACCCAAAAAGACAUGUUUUUG
rnacentral:rRNA from 1 species